rnacentral:rRNA from 1 species
GAUGAACGCUAGCUACAGGCCUAACACAUGCAAGUCGAGGGGAAACGGCAGCUUAGCUUGCUAAGCUGGACGUCGACCGGCGCACGGGUGAGUAACGCGUAUCCAACCUGCCCCACGGUGAGGGAUAACCCGCGGAAACGCGGCCUAAUACCUCAUGGCCUCCGAGCUUGACAUCAACCUUGGAGUAAAGAUUCAUUGCCGUGGGAUGGGGAUGCGUCUGAUUAGGUUGUUGGCGGGGUAACGGCCCACCAAGCCCACGAUCAGUAGGGGUUCUGAGAGGAAGGUCCCCCACAUUGGAACUGAGACACGGUCCAAACUCCUACGGGAGGCAGCAGUGAGGAAUAUUGGUCAAUGGGCGAGAGCCUGAACCAGCCAAGUAGCGUGCAGGAUGACGGCCCUAUGGGUUGUAAACUGCUUUUAUGCGGGGAUAAAGCGGGCGACGUGUCGCCCCUUGCAGGUACCGCAUGAAUAAGGACCGGCUAAUUCCGUG